UACGAACGCUGGCGGCGUGCUUAACACAUGCAAGUCGAACGAUGAAACCUAGCUUGCUAGGUCGAUUAGUGGCGAACGGGUGAGUAACACGUGACUAACCUGCCCCUUUCUCUGGGAUAACGCUCCGAAAGGAGUGCUAAUACCGCAUACUCACACCGAGGCACAUGCCUUGGUGUGGCAAGUUUUUCGGAAAGGGAUGGAGUCGCGGCCUAUCAGCGUGUUGGUGAGGUAACGGCUCACCAAGGCGACGACGGGUAACCGGCCUGAGAGGGCGACCGGCCACACUGGGACUGAGACACGGCCCAGACUCCUACGGGAGGCAGCAGUGGGGAAUAUUGCACAAUGGGCGCAAGCCUGAUGCAGCGACGCCGCGUGAGGGAUGAAGGUCUUCGGAUUGUAAACCUCUUUCAGUAGGGACGAAGCGAAAGUGACGGUACCUAAAGAAGAAGCACCGGCUAACUACGUGCCAGCCGCCGCCGUAA
rnacentral:rRNA from 1 species